CUUGCACUCCAGCCUGGGCGACAGAGCGAGACUCCAUCUCAAAAAAUAAAAAUAAAAAAAAAGUUCACCUUGAUGAAGUAAACGUUGUAUUUCUAGAAGCAAGUGCUGCUUUUUUGGUGUUUAAAAAAUAAGCUAAGGAAAACCAAGCAGUAAACAUGCCCCCUAGUUCUGCUGCUGCUGCUGAGAGGUGAAGCAAGGGCUCCGUGGCCUUAGCCUUCUGACUUGCUCACACGCACACACCGAAGCAGAAAAGGUUUAGUUUUUGUUUUUAAAGCCUUUUUAUUUUUUUAAAAAAACAAAAACCCCCAAACAAAAACAAAACCUAAAUUAAAAUAUUUCCCAUUGGAGGCUAUUUCUUUUUUUGUCUUUUAAAAAUUUUAUUACACAAAUAUCACCCAUUCCCACGUGUCAGAGGAAAGAUGUCCUUGCUCUCUCUAAAACCAAUAGUGGAGAACUUUUGGAAAACAAAACAAAGUCCAACUAGCUUCCUCCUUCUCUGGCCCAAAAUAACCUCAAUGUGUCAACUGAGAUAGCAUAAGACUUAUCCCCUUAAUGCUUACAUUUAAUUUAAACUUUUUAGCACAACAUUGGAGAUUGACUCUAAAUCAGCAACAAAAAAAUAUAUAUUUACAAUAUUUCUCCGAAAAACAAAAAACACAACCAAACCCUUUAAACAUAAGUGACUUUAGGAGUUUUAUUUAUGGAGCAGUUAUUUUUUUAAUCACCAAGUGAUUUUAUAUUAUAUAUAUAUAAAUUUUCUUCCUUUCCUUUGUGGUUUUUCGCCCCGGUGCUUGGAAAGAUGGAGGCACGUGCACACCCCCUUCCAUGGCUGCAGGCAGAGGGCUG
rnacentral:lncRNA from 10 species